rnacentral:tRNA from 1 species
GGCUGUGUAGUUCAGUGGUAGAGCACAUGCUUGGCAAGUACAAGGUCCUGGGUUCAAUCUCCAGUGCCCCCA